UACGGAGGGUGCAAGCGUUAUCCGGAUUCACUGGGCUUAAAGGGUGCGUAGGUGGUCAGGUAAGUCAGUGGUGAAAUCUCUGGGCUUAACCCAGAAACUGCCGUUGAUACUAUCUGUCUUGAAUAUAGUGGAGGUGAGCGGAAUAUGUCAUGUAGCGGUGAAAUGCUUAGAUAUGACAUAGAACACCCAUUGCGAAGGCAGCUCGCUAAACUAUUAUUGACACUGAGGCACGAAAGCGUGGGGAUCAAACAGG
rnacentral:rRNA from 1 species